UUUAACAAAUUGUGUUUUAUAUGUGGUCUUAUUGACCAUAUAUUAGAAGCUGCACAUUGAAGGAUGAUUCUCAACCUACUUAAUGCAAAAGGAUCUUGCUUUGUGUGGCUUGGUUCAGUGUCUGUCUUGAUAAAUUUAGAUUACAGGUGUUGUGCUGCCAUUGUUGGAGAUGUAUUUCUGGCUCAUGCUUUGAUUUGAAGCAUAUGUAGGAACUUUUGAUGGGCCUAAAGAGUUCAUGAAAGGAAACUCAGCUGCAAAUCUUGGGACGAUGCAACCCUGAAUCUACAUACUCGUCGCCUGGGUCCUGUUAUCUCAUUGCUUCAAUCUAAAGAUCUUACAAGCAGUGACAAGCUUAUGAAGUAUUUCAGAGAAGAAUGGUAUUUAAAAUGUACUUCCUGAAGUAAAGUUCUUUCUUUGAAAGAUCGGAAGAAAUCCUACACACUCGGCUAUAUCUGGUUAAGAGAUGGUGCUGUGGCUAAUUCUAUAUGUGAAUUAUGCAAUGAGAUUGUGUUCUCCUGCCCUGUUCCUUCAGGUUUUCUCCACCAAAGCUAUGAUUCUCAUGUUGGCCUUCAAGUUGUUCCUAACAAAUUAGAUCAAUAGGAAAGGGCUGUUCUUUCUACUUCCUUAUGAUCCUUUUGGUGUAUAAGGACUCCAGUGAUCUUUCAAGGAUCUUCUUAUAAAGUCUUGAAUUUGCUUGAUCGUCGUCUAUUCACAUCUGGUGUUUUUUUUGCUACUUGAAUCAAGAUUUCAGGUAUUCCAGGUAAUGUUGUAAGUUAGAUUGAGGAACUUCUACUGGCCAGUUUUAGCUAAUCUACAUGGUGUUUUGAUAUCCUUAGAGCUGGAAUUUGUUGUUCCUAGGGAGCAGCAUGAGGAAUCCUCCAAGUCUCAUUACUUCAAAACUUACAUUUUGCUAAGAUGAAUCAUUUCUGAUUCACCAUUAACCAGAGGUCUCGGGUUCGAGUCUUGGGUAUGGAGAAAAUCAUGUGGGGAGCGCUAUCCCUGAAUGGACCCUGCAGUGCGUGAUCCGGAUUCGAACCCUGGGUUGGGAGAAAAUCAUUUCUGCAAAUGAAAAUCACACUGAAUACUUUGCAGACAUGAAAGGGAAUGAGAUUAUGAAUAUUUGCAGACAAUUUUUUGGGGGGAAAGCUUACUUACAUUAUGGUGUUUACAUCAAAUUAUGAGUAUUAAAUGUAUUAAUUUUGUCAUUAAGUGACAAGAAGAUAUGUAAAUGAUACAUAUUAUGUGUACUUAUUAUUGAAUUGACCUAAA